rnacentral:tRNA from 1 species
GCACUAGUGGUCUAUUGGUAGAAUAGUACCCUGCCACGGUCCAAACCUGGGUUCAAUUCUCGGUUGGUGUA